UUCCUGAGUAAAGUGGCGAACGGGUGCGUAACACGUAGGUAAUCUACCCCGGACUCUGGGAUAACUUCUCGAAAGGGAAGCUAAGACUAGAUAGAGUCCUCGAGACAAAAGUUGCGAGGGAAAACAGGCCUCUGAUAUAUGCUUGUGGUCUGGGAUGAACUUGCGGCCCAUUAGCUAGUUGGUAGGGUAACGGCCUACCAAGGCGACGAUGGGUAGCUGGUCUGAGAGGAUGAUCAGCCACACUGGCACUGAGAUACGGGCCAGACUCCUACGGGAGGCAGCAGUGGGGAAUUUUGUGCAAUGGGCGAAAGCCUGACGCAGUAACGCCGCGUGGAGGACGAAGGCCUUCGGGUUGUAAACUCCUGUCAGGGGGAACGACGGGUGCAAGGUAAAUAGGCUUGCUUCCCAGACGGUACCCCCAAAGGAAGCCCCGGCUAAUUCCGUGCCAGCAGCCGCGGUAAUACGGAAGGGGCAAGCGUUGUUCGGAAUUAUUGGGCGUAAAGGGCGCGUAGGCGGUUUCGUAUGUCUGCUGUGAAAGCCCACGGCUCAACCGUGGAGGGUCAGUGGAAACUGCGAGACUCGAGGCUGGGAGGGGCCGGUGGAAUUCCCCGUGUAGCGGUGAAAUGCGUAGAUAUGGGGGAGAACACUCGUGGCGAA
rnacentral:rRNA from 1 species